GAUGAACGCUAGCGGCAGGCUUAAUACAUGCAAGUCGUGGGGCAGCAGGACUGUAGCACUACAGUUGCUGGCGACCGGCAAACGGGUGCGGAACACGUACGCAACUUACCCUGAACUGGGGGAUAGCCCGGGGAAACCCGGCUUAAUACCCCGUAAUAUAAUGGAGUGGCAUCACUUUAUUAUUAAAGCUCCGGCGGUUCGGGAUGGGCGUGCGGCUGAUUAGGUAGUUGGUUGAGGUAACGGCUCACCAAGCCUACGAUCAGUAACUGAUGUGAUAGCACGACCAGUCAGACGGGAACUGAGGCACGGGCCCGACGCCUACGGGAGGCAGCAGUAAGGAAUAUUGGGCAAGGGAGGCAACUCUGACCCAGCCACGCCGCGUGGAAGAUGAAGGCCGUCUGAGAUGUAAACGUCUUGUAUAGGGGACGAAACCUGUGUAUUCUUACGCAGUUGACGGUACCCUAAGAAGAAGCACCGGCUAACUCCGUG
rnacentral:rRNA from 1 species